AUCCGCGCCGCGCCGCGCAUAGCCGCACAGGCUGACAGGCAGAAGGACUGACUUCCCUCUCCGGGCAUCCUCCCUGGGCUGCCGGGAGGCGGCGGCGGAGGAGGAGGAGGAGAAGGAAAGGGGGGAGAAGGCGGAGAGCAGGAACGCGAGGAGGUGGACCUGGAUCCGUUUCUCCCGGCCAGGACCCGAGCGGCCCCAGCUACCGCUACCCGCCGGCGCCGUCCGCUAUCCAUCAACCCUCCUGCGCCCACUCUCUACCCCAGGCUCUCUGCGCGUCGGGCCGGGGCCGGAGCCGCGCGGCCAGAGACGGCCUGGCCUCCUGGUGAUGCGCACGUGGCACUAAGUGUUGGUGGCCAUCGGGGACUUUGCAUCCUGGGGACGAAUCCCGAGCUUGCCAGAGACGGACGGCAAAAGCAGGUCCGGCCUCUGUUUCCCCGUGAGGAGCAGCCGCGGCCCACCGAGAUGUCCAGGCACCACAGCCGCCUC
rnacentral:lncRNA from 1 species